GUAGGACUCAAGUUGACGUCCAAUCUUUUGCGCCACACACCACAAAUCACUAGUUUCAUCAGCAGUGAGAUCUAUAAAGCGCUUCACUUCACGCCUUGGGCAGACAAGCACAUUACCAGGAACAAGAGGACGGAGGUUGACCAAAGCAUAGGAAAGUUUGGAUGAGUAGAAAACUUCCUUGGGAUUAAUUUCAUACGGCCCAAAUCGGUAAUGUUCCGCUUCCAUCUGGGCUCAAUAACACAGAACACAAUGAAUUAAAACAUAGAGCGUGUAAUACUGGG